GCCUUUGUGGUGUAAUGGUAGCACAAUCGGCUGGUAUACGGGAUGUCCAGGUUCGAGUCCUGGCGAGGGCG
rnacentral:tRNA from 1 species